GGUGUGAUGUCUAAGCGAAAAAUUGGACAUGAAAAGUUACGUGAGAAAAACAUAAAGCUUCUGCGAGAAGAUGAUAAAACAACUAAAAAUCUACUAUCCAUGUUUUCUAAACUGAAUUCAAAUACCCUGCAACACCAUGCUGAUGCUGAGCCUGUUGAUGAGGUUCAAUCUCACGUUGUUAAAGAGACCCAAACAAACCUUGAUGAUGAAGAUGGCAAAGUCUACGAAAACAGCAAGUUUUACAUCGUAGAUUGAUCGUGGACAGAGUAGUAUUAAUUAUCAAAGUGAUUGAUAAACGUGGUAUGCCAUAUCGAGGUAAGGCUGCUUGCGAUGCCGUCAAUGUUUUGGCUAACAAAAGAGUGGAUCAUGAAACAUUUCUUGAAAUCGUGAUUCUUGUUACGAAGUACAAUGAAAUUCUAAAAGUGCAUUUGAAGGAAAUUAUCAACAAAAGCUGAAUGAUAAACAGGAUAAGAGGAAUAGAGCUAACAGAAAUACUUUCAUUUCCAAAUCCACUGUAAACCAAAUUAUAUUAGGAAUCGCUAAAUUAAUGAAAAGUGCCAUUGCUGAAGAAGUACAACAAGCGGGAAUAUUCUCAGUGCAAUUUGACACAACUCAAGAUGUAACACAAGCGGAUAAAUGUGCGAUAGUUCUGCGAUACGUUACCGACAAAGUUGAGGAGCGACUUAUUGGUGUUGUCAAUUCACAUUCUGGAAAAGGCAGUAAUCUGUGCAAAUUGAUAUCAAACGUUUUGGAACAAAAUGGCAAUGAUAUUACUAAAUGUGUGUCAGGUAGUACUGAUGGCGCAUCUAUUAUGGCCGGGGUAUACAAUGGAUUUACUACAUUCUUAGAAAAAGCGUCUCCUGGACACAUUCACACAAUGUGUUAUGCGCAUGUUUUAAAUCUGGUCGUAUGUGACGCCACCAGCAGUAAUGAAGCUUCAAUGAUACUUUUUGGUAUACUUCAAAAGGCUGAUAUGUUUUUUCGUGAGUCCUACUUGAGAAUGGACCUUUGGACUGAUCACAUGAAAGAAAAAAAUGGCCAAAACAUUCACAAACGACUAAGUGUUAUCGGUGCUGUUAGAUGGGGGCCCAAACACGAUGCUCUUCAAAAGUUUUUUGGAACGUUUCGCGACGGUGAAGGAGCAUUAUACACAGACGUCGUUCAAGUACUGGAAAUAGCAGUCUCUUCCACUAAAUUAAGUGUUGAUGCACGCUAUGAUGCGCAGUGUCUAUUAACGUCCUUAUUGAAGUAUAAGACUGUACUGACGGGAUUUGUAUAUCUAAGAAUAAUGGAAGCAACCACGCCACUGUCCAAAUACCUACAGACAUCUGGAUUGAAUUUCAUAAAGGCGUUUGAGAUGGUCAAAGUAACUAUUUCAUAAAUUCAGACUCAAUCACGCAAUUUUGAUCAAGUUAAGGUGGCUGCAGACCAUUUCAUUAAUGUGUCCGCAACCAUUCUUGACGAGAAAGAAUGUGAUUGUGUUAUACAGACAGAUUUGCCAAUGGUACGCAAAAGAAUAAGAAAAGUAAUGCCAGGAGAAUUAGCAAAUAAUGAUCCACUUACAGAUCCUUUAAAAAAGUUUGAAGUAGAGGUCCACAAUGGUAUUCUAGACACAGUGUUAAGAAGUCUGUCGACUCGGUUUGCAUCACACGGUGAACUGUACUCUGAUAUAAGUUGUUUUGACCCCAACGGAUUUUCUGAGUUAUUGGAAUGUAAUAUUCCAAAAAAAGCCCUACAGAAAAUCUGCUGUCAUACUUCGGCAACAGGCGAAGAAGCGCAGCUGUUGCUUGAGCUAUUGGACUUUGAAAAAAAUUGGCCAGUUUUAAAAAAAACAUUGGAAGAGAGCUACGAUUGUUCUGAUCAAAUCACGAUUGAUGAGGAUGAGGUUGAAAAUAAAGAUGACGCCACCAACCAUAAAUGCGGCCCUCUAAAGUGUCGCUCGUGCAUUUACUGUUGCUACCAUGUGCUUCGAAAAUAUAAUCUUUACGGCAAGAGCUACUGCAUGCUGCAUAGGGCUUACAAAUUCAUGCUCACAAUUUCAAUUACCCAAGUGGCUUGUGAGAGGAGUUUCAGCAAGUUGAAAUGUGUCAAAACAAGAUUGCGAAGUCAGUUGACAGAAGAUCACUUGGACUCACUGUUGAUGAUGUGCAUUGAAAUGGACAUAUUGAGUAACAUAACCAACGAUGAAAUUAUUGAUGAACUUGCUAAAUCGAGUGGUGAAUUAAAAAAGUUACUGUUUUAAUGAUUUUGAGUUUUUGUGAUUUAAAUAUGAAUUUAUAAAACAAAUAUAACACAUGUACUUAAAUGACAUCUUUAUUGAUUUUAAACAAGUGUAUACAAGUCCUUAUUGUUCAAUAGUGUUACAAAAGUAUUUAAAAGUGAGGGGUUACAAGCGAAUACGAUUUAAAAAAAAAAGGUCACUUGGUGGGUCUUUUUCAUGAUAGCAUUUCCCAGGCCUUUUCAAAAGCCUAAUCCGCCCCUGAUAGAAACAACAAUUGUAUCACUGGUUAUAAAAUAUGUAUCACCAUAGAAGACAUAUAAGAUAUAAAAAUGAAUGUUGACUAAUAGUAACCUUCUGUGUGUGCAUUAUUUAUUUUAUUUGAUUUAUUUAUGUUUUGUUUUGUUUAUGAUCGCUCUCCUCAAUUUAGACAGGCUAUAUAAGAGUGAACCAUCCAGGAUGUA
rnacentral:misc_RNA from 1 species